rnacentral:rRNA from 1 species
GGCGUAAGCGCGCGCAGGUGGUUUCUUAAGUCUGAUGUGAAAGCCCACGGCUCAACCGUGGAGGGUCAUUGGAAACUGGGAGACUUGAGUGCAGAAGAGGAAAGUGGAAUUCCAUGUGUAGCGGUGAAAUGCGUAGAGAUAUGGAGGAACACCAGUGGCGAAGGCGACUUUCUGGUCUGUAACUGACUCUGUGGCGCGAAAGCGCGGGGA